AGAGUUUGAUCCUGGCUCAGGAUGAACGCUGGCGGUCUGCUUAACACAUGCAAGUCGAACGGGUACUUCGGUACUAGUGGCGGACGGGUGAGUAACGCGUGAGAAUCUAGCUUCAGACCGGGGACAACAGAGGGAAACCACUGCUAAUACCCGAUGUGCCGAAAGGUGAAAGAUUUAUCAUCUGAAGAUGAGCUCGCGUCCGAUUAGCUAGUUGGUAGGGUAAGAGCCUACCAAGGCGACGAUCGGUAGCUGGUCUGAGAGGAUGACCAGCCACACUGGGACUGAGACACGGCCCAGACUCCUACGGGAGGCAGCAGUGGGGAAUUUUCCGCAAUGGGCGAAAGCCUGACGGAGCAAGACCGCGUGAGGGAGGAAGGCUCUUGGGUUGUAAACCUCUUUUCUCUGGGAAGAAGAUCUGACGGUACCAGAGGAAUCAGCAUCGGCUAACUCCGUGCCAGCAGCCGCGGUAAUACGGAGGAUGCAAGCGUUAUCCGGAAUUAUUGGGCGUAAAGCGUCCGUAGGUGGCGGUUCAAGUCUGCCGUUAAAACCAGUAGCUUAACUACUGACAGGCGGUGGAAACUGAACAGCUAGAGUGUGGUAGGGGUAGAGGGAAUUCCCAGUGUAGCGGUGAAAUGCGUAGAGAUUGGGAAGAACACCGGUGGCGAAAGCGCUCUGCUGGACCACAACUGACACUCACAGGACGAAAGCUAGGGGAGCGAAAGGGAUUAGAUACCCCUGUAGUCCUAGCCGUAAACGAUGGAUACUAGGUGUUGUGAGUAUCGACCCUCACAGUGCCGGAGCCAACGCGUUAAGUAUCCCGCCUGGGGAGUACGCACGCAAGUGUGAAACUCAAAGGAAUUGACGGGGGCCCGCACAAGCGGUGGAGUAUGUGGUUUAAUUCGAUGCAACGCGAAGAACCUUACCAGGGCUUGACAUGUCGCGAAUCCUCUUGAAAGGGAGGAGUGCCUUCGGGAGCGCGAACACAGGUGGUGCAUGGCUGUCGUCAGCUCGUGUCGUGAGAUGUUGGGUUAAGUCCCGCAACGAGCGCAACCCUCGUUUUUAGUUGCCAGCAUUAAGUUGGGCACUCUAAAGAGACUGCCGGUGACAAACCGGAGGAAGGUGGGGAUGACGUCAAGUCAGCAUGCCCCUUACGUCCUGGGCUACACACGUACUACAAUGCUACGGACAAAGAGCAGCUAAACAGCGAUGUCUUGCUAAUCUCGUAAACCGUGGCUCAGUUCAGAUUGUAGGCUGCAACUCGCCUACAUGAAGGCGGAAUCGCUAGUAAUCCCAGGUCAGCAUACUGGGGUGAAUUCGUUCCCGGGCCUUGUACACACCGCCCGUCACACCAUGGGAGUUGGCCACGCCCGAAGUCGUUAUCCUAACCCGCAAGGGAAGGAGAUGCCGAAGGUGGGGCUGAUGACUGGGGUGAAGUCGUAACAAGGUAGCCGUACCGGAAGGUGUGGCUGGAUCACCUCCUUUUUAGGGAGACCUAACCCAAUUGAUGACUGAAAAUUUGUUCAUAAGUCACAAUUGAGGUCAUACCUAGGUCGAACGAGAAUGGCUGGCUUUCAAACUAGAUUCAGGUUUGGGUGAUGGGCUAUUAGCUCAGGUGGUUAGAGCGCACCCCUGAUAAGGGUGAGGUCCCUGGUUCAAGUCCAGGAUGGCCCACCUGAAACACAAAGUAUUGUGGGGGUAUAGCUCAGUUGGUAGAGCGCUGUCCUUGCACGGCAGAUGUCAGCGGUUCGAGUCCGCUUACCUCCACCAAAAAAACUCAGUGGAGAAGAAGUUUCCCCAAGGAACUUGUCAACGCUAAGAGGAAAUGAUAGACUAGAAAGAGUGACAAUUGAUGAAUCAGCACCUCUAGUGGUUAGCGAAAAACCAAAGAGAAUGCUGGCCACAUCAGCCAGUGAGAACCUAGAAAACUGCAUAGUAAGAGAGAAAUAGGAAACAAAUAGCAGGUAGAUAAUUACCAAAUGUUUGUGUAGAAGGUCAAGCUAUCAAGAGCUAAUGGUGGAUACCU
rnacentral:rRNA from 1 species